rnacentral:pre_miRNA from 1 species
UUUUUAGUAUAAGUAUAUCCCAUGCAAUAUUUCAGACAUACUUAUACUAAAA